rnacentral:rRNA from 1 species
GUAGGUCCCGAGCGUUAUCCGGAUUUAUUGGGCGUAAAGCGAGCGCAGGCGGUUGGCUAAGUCUGAAGGUAAAGGGUGUGGCCUAACCAUAGUAUGUUUUGGAAACUGUUCAACUUGAGUGCAGAAGGGGAGAGUGGAAUUCCAUGUGUAGCGGUGGAAUGCGUAGAUAUAUGGAAGAACACCAGUGGCGAAAGCGGCUCUCUGGUCUGUAACUGACGCUGAGGUUCGAAAGCGUGGGUAGCAA